UACAGAGGGGGCAAGCGUUGCUCGGAAUCACUGGGCGUAAAGGGUGCGUAGGCGGGUCUUUAAGUCAGGGGUGAAAUCCUGGAGCUCAACUCCAGAACUGCCUUUGAUACUGAAGAUCUUGAGUUCGGGAGAGGUGAGUGGAACUGCGAGUGUAGAGGUGAAAUUCGUAGAUAUUCGCAAGAACACCAGUGGCGAAGGCGGAGCUCACUGGCCCGAGUACCGUGACGCCUGAGGCACGAAAGGCGUGG
rnacentral:rRNA from 1 species